AUCCACCACAAUACAUCAAUUGCUUCGUCGUUCCUUCCGUCGUCGCGCUUCCUCGACCGUCGUCCACAUGGGCCAGGCCCAAUGACUCCGCCGACUCCGCCGAAUCCACCUACCCCUGCUCGAUCUCCCAAAAAUUCAUCUACUCGGUCUUCAACCCAUCACCGCCGAUCUGCGUCCGCCCCUUCGAUCCGGCAAGCGCAGAGGAGUCGCUUUGGCGAGUUGCACCAAGCACGAUGCCCCGUCCGCACCGAAAGCGAGAGGGAUGCGGCGCUCGACGAACGGAUGACCAGAUCGUCAGCUUGACACAAGGUCAGGAAACUUUCCUACGGGACGCUCAUCAAGGCGGUCGAUCUGAUGCAGCUAAUCGACCGGGCGGUUUUUCUUCUCAACGAGAUGGGGAGCGCUUCAAUCGACGUUCCGCUCCUCAAAAUCCAACGACAAGACGACCACAGUCCACCGCCGGUCGACGACCCAGCGGCCUCCUACCAGCCCACGAUUCAGCCUCCUACUUGGCUUGAAGCAUCCGCCGAGGGAACGAACCAAUCAGCAUCAUGGGAGCCAGGCCGAGGGGUGCCAUCAUCGCCGGGAGGAGGCUGUCAAGCGCCGCUGGAGUCCGCGCCGCUGGCGUCGUUGCCGACAUCCACCAUAUGCGUGAUGUUGUGCUCUAACACGGCGGGCGCCUGUCACAAGAGCUCCCCGGUGACUCUGGGAUAUGCGCGAACUGGUGGUUAUUCCAGCAACUACCAGCACGGGAACUCCUGGCGGGCAGGUCUUAGUACGAGUGCACAUGGCGUUUCCAGCAGGCGACAAGGCUGGCUGCAUGCUACGUCGCCUCGAGUCGCCGUCGUGGCAUGCAAGAUAUUACAUCUCUCUGUACGCUGCUGGAGUGCUGGUCGAGUACAACUACCCCAAGUUCAUCGCCAAGAAGGUGUGAAUCAACAUGCCAUGGUGGUAUCUCGCUGCCAAUAAAUAGACGAGCCCCUUCCUCACGCAGUGCACUAACAUCAACUGGUCACCACGUGUUCGCCAGCCGAGGGUGAUCAAGGCGCGGAUCACGAUGGCACACUGGGAACUCCAGGGCGGCGAUACAGAUCUGCUGAAUAACAAGAGCACUACUUCACUAGGAGAUGUGAUAAUAACUGGACAAGUUCAGUGGUGUGCGCGAGGCAAUGAUAUGCUCUCACCAUUUAGUAGUGGCUAUUGAAAAAACUAAAUGUUUAGAGCUGGUGCGGCAUGUAUCUCCAUUAACCCUUUCAGAUUUUUUCAGUGCAGUUGCGAUGGUUCCUAAUGGAGACAUAGAUAUAGCAGUUGCCAUUGUUCAUUGUGCUGUCCUCUCUAUACCCACAAUUCAACAAAAGGUUUUAUUUGCGUGUUCCCUUCAAAAAGUAUUUUAGCAGCCAGCCAAUAGAGAAAAUUGUACCAUUCAUUUUUUAUAAGGAAAACCUGCAUCCUGGGGCCAAGAUUAAUGGUUCAUAUUUAGCUUAAACAGAAGGUAGACCAAUGACUUUUGUGAUGUUAUUUAUUUAAUAUCUCUACUGCUUCCUUUAAUGCAAUCCUAAGUAUGCCUACUACAAACUUAAUCCUUGGUCAUCUGAAGACAAAUAAGCAGUUAUUGACACUUUUGUAGGCAUACAGUUUGAUAAUUCUCCCUGCACGCAUUCAAAGCUUGGUUUGCUUCCAAAUCAACAAGGAACAUAUGAAGAAGUAUAUACAUACUACAGAGAUAUAGGUCAUGUCUUACCAGAAUAUCAAAGUCCACCUACCGCCUCUGAUAAUAAACAAGACGGUCUGGUUGGCCAACAUCACGCCAAACAUUUCUAGGAAGACGCUGCAAGAUGUUCAGUUCAAAGGUCAACCCCAUAGCCGCCGCGGUCCAGGAGGGGGCCAAGGCGAACGCAGAGUGAUGCACCGAUGCGCCAUCUCGAGGCGCUCGACCAACGGCUCAACAUCACGUCGCAGGCCUUGGAGAGGAUGCAACACUCGUCGUCGGAAGAAGACGACCGGACCCGGUGGAUUCCAUGGUCGUGUGGAAGGGCACGCUGCACACAACAGGAGCGUGGACAGGCAACACUACAGGGGCAUCUUCGGCGGCCCACAGGCUCGCCUCGCCUCACGCAGGUAUGGAGCGCAACAGGACUCAGGGCCGCGCGGGUUUUCAGGGCGGCGGUGGUUUGGGAUGCACAUGCGGCAGUGUUCUCCGAGGCGUUAGCGGCGGCGGUGGAUCUUGCCGGUGCGAAGAUUUCUAGCGGGUGAACCGCUGCUAGACAAGAUUGGUCUGAUGUGAUGGUGUGUGACGCACUCUUCUCCCCCUCACAAAUUCUUCUCUCUACAUGGUGAGGUGUGGCGCGGCAGCUUCGGCCUUCGUGGGCUAAUCCGGGUUUGCAAUCAGACUUUGUUCCCUUGCACUAAAUAAGUUUUCUUGUUGAUGAGCAUUUUAGCUUCUUUCACUGAAUCAAAUUUCCAGGCAGGUGUUAUGUACUAAAUAUAGUCUUCAUUUGGGUAGGUUUGUGAAAUGAAUAUGAGUGAGGAGUGUGAGAUGGACUGAAGCAUUGAGAACUGAGUUCUAGCUUAGUGGGAAGGCAAGCGAGUGCGCAGCAAGCCCACCCGGGUUCGAAUCCCCAUCCGCGGUAAUUUCGCAGGAGGGGCGAAUAAACCGGGUUAUCAUCCAUCCGCGUCCAUCUGCGGGGAGACUCUCAUUCUACCUAACAACGUAUAGCCAAAGGAGGGAUCAUUCCCCCGUUGGUCAACGUUUGAGAUGGACUGAAGCAUUAGCCGUUAACUGAUUUAGCAUUCAUGUACUGAUGUACAACGUAACCUAUAUUGCUAAUUCAUAUUUAGAUAAUUUUAAAAUAAUCAAAUUACUUCUAACAUCAUCUGAUUGUAAUGUAUGUUUCUCUCAGGAGUGUUUUCUUGUAAAUAUGGACAAAGAGUAAUGUUGAUGGAAUUUAAGUGAGUAUAUUCUGUGAGUUCGUACAUGCUCAUAAAUGACUAUCACACAUGCAUUCUUGGAGACUAGAACCAGUCAAAAUAUGUGUAAAUCUGUUCAUGAAUGCUGGCACUAUCUCUAUAAUGAAUUUCAUGACAUUAUUUUUUUUGCUAUGAAAAUACUCCUUUUGUGAAUCACGGUCUCGCGGAGUGGGGUAUGGUGGCAAUGGUGGCGGAGUGGGGUGAGGUUGCCGAUUGCUGCUUGAAUAAAAUGGUAAACCUUAUUUUAGGUUUUGCUUCCGAAUUGGCCAGAUAAAAUGGUAAUCAAUAAUCAUUAGAAUAUCUGUUGAUAAAUUUCUACGCAAACUAUAUAGCUGGCCAGCAAAAUCUUGCUUGUUUUCUUUUCAAAUGAUAUAGAGUUGAAAUUGAUCACAAGUUUACUACUUGGCCGCUGACUUUCGGGGAAAGGUUGCGAAGAUAUGCAUUGUUUAUCUUGUUAUUUUAUUCCUGGGAUUGGAGGAGCCAUUAGUCCUAGCUCCUAACCCAUAUGUUUUAUUUUUUUAAGAGUACCGGUAUUCAGACUUCAGAUGCCUAAAAAGCGAUCCAGGAGUUGCACGUUGUGCAGAGACUCCGAAACUACACGCCCGCCACCUAGCCUUCACCGCCCAUGUGCUCUAGCUCAACGCCUACUCCUCGAAUAAGGAGCAGGUGCCUCGCGUACACCGCGUUCAUUUUUCUUUUGCACUCGGUUUUUCCAGCGUUCGUCAUAUGUAUGUUCAACUAUAUGACACCAUGACACCAAUAAAUUAGACGAUAUGCAUGUAUCCUAUUACUUCUAUUUUAUAUUUUCAGUACAGUUGAUUUAUAGAACCAGAAUUCAAGGAUCCUUGGAUAAGUGCUCUUCCAAAACUAAAGGAAUUCAAGAGUAGUAUACCCCAGGCAACAUAGAGUAGUAUAUCCCAAGUUCCAUGUCUGUUUAUGAAAUCAUGCUACUAUAAUCUUCCAAAACAUAGAGUAGUAUAGAGAUGUGAUUGCACCUGAAUUGACAUUCACGUUAUGCUUCCUGGUUAGCUCUUGGUCACCGUUACAAGACAGGUAGAAAGAAACUGUUUUAUUUUCACCUUCUCUCCGGUUCAUUUUUAGCCAACCACAUCAAUUUUGAAUACGUGUUGUAUAGAAUUAGUGGCUCCUGGACAAUAUUUAUCUUUGACUGUCCGCUUUCUUGCAUACUAUUGACACUGUUAUUGUUAGGAUACCAUUAGGCAUUGCAUGCAGUAUGGAAAAAAAGAAACGAGCAUAUGAGGUUGAUUUUGAUUCCAAUCUAUUAUAUACAGGUCAAGGAUCAAAGGUACAUCAAAUGCAAAACUUUCAAGUACAGGUUGGGCAGAUUCUAAUCUACUUUACUUUACCAUUUGCUACCAACAGAUCUUACCCCUGCGACCUCUGUUCCCCUCGCAGGUGCAACAGGAGGAGGACGGAGAUAUGCUCGUUCUUGAAGGUGUAUGGUAGCACUUUGAUAGUGUUUUUGAAGCUGAAGGUGAAGAGGAGGUGUCGAGCAAUUGAAGGAAUUCCUAGAGGACCUAGAGAUAGCGGCCAAGGAGAUUUUGUUAUAAAGAAAUGUUUUUUCUGUUGGUGUCAUGACUUGUAAUAACCAAUGAUUUUGAAUUAACAUGAGAGAUAUUUCUAUAAGUAAUACUGGUUUCUUUGAUAAUUAUAAAUUAUGAUA